CGCGCGUACGGGAGUGUCACCGAGAGAGAACCAGCCAGGGGGCGGGGUCUUUCAGCUGAACUACUACUUCUAAGAGACAUAUAGGGUUAGAUUCCCAUGAGCCUCUGGUUACAUCUUUUUUCCCCCCACUGUGGAAGUAAAAGCCUAAAAUUUUAAACCUAAUGUAUCUUUGACUUGUAUUUAAAAUACAAGUUAAUGCCUCCCAAAGUAUCUAGACUGGCAUAAUUAGGAAGGAGGGGGAUGAAGAUCGGAGCUGGUGAGCACAGAGUGUCCUUGACUGUCAGUGUUUCUGAAAGAAAAGCUUUUUCCUAACAUUUUUAGCCACAAUCCCAGAUUCUCUGUUUCAUGUCCUUUUAAUGGGUCAGUCAGAGAUCUAGAGAGGAGGAUGGUGUCUGUUCCAUGUUAGGCUUCAUCCCAGUCAGGUCCAUAUUGUUAGUACCAUCAAGACAAGACAAAACCAGACAAACAAACACAGCACUUAAACAAAAGAAAGGGGCCCAAUACAGAUUAUCAGAGUUCCAAGACCGAGUACCAGAGUUCCAUGGAAUUCAGAGGGUUGGCUUGGCUCUAUCAGGCUAAAAACCUUAUGGAUUGGAUGAAGGAAGAGGGACAUCUCCCAGUUUCUCCAAGUCUACCUAUUAGGGAGUCCGCCUAGGUACAUGUGACCUGUACAGAGUCUGAGGCAGAGAUGCUGGCCAGAGAAAAAGGAAAAUUAAACAGGAACAAUCUAACUUGCCCAGGUGGUUGAUCAAAACCUCUGGAGUUCUGGGGUCCAGAGGGUCUUUGGGGAUCCCGGACAAGCCCCCAGAUGUUGUGCCCAAGUCACAAGGUUCCCCAAAGAGACCAGGGAGACAGACCACCGACACAAAUGCAUAAGGUUUAUUAAAUUGUUUAUCUUUUUUGUUUUUGUUUUUUGAGGCAGGGUUUCUCUGUGGCUUUGGAGACUGUCCUGGAACUAGCUCUUGUAGACCAGGCUGGUCUCGAACUCACAAGAGAUCCGCCUGCCUCUGCCUCUAGAGUGCUGAGAUUAAAGGCAUGUGCCACCAACGUCCGACUUAAAUUGUUUAUCUUACACCUUGGAAGGGACGCCGUCUAGGAAGCUGACACAUCAGCCUCCAGAGAGGGUGAAGUUCCUGUCUAUUGCUAGGUUUUAAAGACAAAAGUUGCAGGAUUACAUCAUUAGGUACAGGUUGAUUUCUGAUUGGUUGACAUUUGGGGAACAAUCAAGAAAUUACUCAAAGUCAUAUUUUGGCAUGAAAUACCUGUGUACCAGGUAUUCUCAUUGGUCAAGUCUGAGAGGGAACAUUCUGUGGUUACUAUGGCUUUGUGUUGUUACUUGUAGGUGGCCUGUUGUUCAUAGAUAUCAAUAGUUUUCAGAACUGUAUCCUGGAGACUACAGGGGAGGUUUUGGUCUUCCCUAGAGUUUGUUUUGUGGCCAAUAGUUCCCAGGAACCAAGCACCUAGGAGGCUGGCAGUGGGGUGGGGUGUCUGGAGUUUCUUUGUGCUUAGUUUUGGCCCUAGGCUCUAGGAGGCCAGAGGAUCUAGAGUUUCCUUGUGCCAGAGGCCUAUGUGUCUUUUCUUAGCCUGUCAUGGCUGCUAAAGCAGGGAUCUGAGUGAGGGUCUGGUCCCUUUAUUUUUAAAUUAUUAGAAAUGAAGCCUUUGAGUUUAGUUUUCCCCCUUUCAAGUCUAUGUUUGUUUGUUUUUGUUUUCCAAGGUAGCGUUUCUCUGUGUAGUCUUUGCUGUGCUGAAAUUAGAUCUGUAGACCAGGCUGACUCAGAAAUCCGACUGCCUUUGCUUCCCGGGUGCAGGGAUUAAAGGCAUGUCCUACCACCACCCAGCAGAAUAUAUAUGUUUAAAGACACCUGGUCUGACAUAUAUUAUUGCUUCUGUUUAAUUCAAUUUAAAGUCAAGUCUAUACAAACUCAGCUAGUACAUUUUCACAAGGCAGCCUUCAGGCAGGCACAGAUUCAGACCCAUACAACAGAGGAUGGGUGACACAGAAAGCAUGAAGUAGAGAAUUAACCUGAACUUGCUCUUGAUUAAACAACUCUAAGGGGGAGUGCUUUUACUUUCUCCUUAAUGUGACAGUGACACAUUACUGGUGAUUCCAAGGUAAUCACUACUAGGUAUAAUCCACACAAAGGAUAGUAAACCCCUUUUCAGUUAGAAACACUAGACAGCAAUUCAGCCCUACCUUUAGGGCCAUUAUAAAAAAUUAUUUACGUGCAUUGGUGUUUCAUCCACAUAUAUGUCUGUGAAAAGGUGUCAGAUCCCUUGGAACUGGAAUUACAGGCAGUUGUGAGAUGCCUUGUGGGUGCUGGGAAUUGAACAAGGGUCCCCUAAAAGAACCGAACCACUAACCCAUCUCUCCAGCCUCGCCACCCACCCCCACCUCGGCCAUUUUAAAUAGCAAAACCAUUAACACCCGGUAAAAUAUAUUUGUAACAGGUUGCCCUUAUUUAAUAUCACCUAAGAAUGAAAAAGGGUUGGUGAGAUGGCUCAUGGGCGUUUGUCUGCCAAGCCUAAAGACCUGAAUUUCAUAGCCAAAGCCCACAUGCUGGAAGGAGACCUGACUCCUCAAAGUUGUCCUUGACCUCCACGAGUGCCCAACACACACACACACACACACACACACACACACACACACACACACACACACACACACACACACACACACACACACACAAAAGGAAAAGAGGACAGAGGUUUUAGUUUUCAUGUGUAAUAAACCCAGACUCCUUCAAUGACCUUGGUGACUAGGAUCCAGCCUACCUUCCAGAGUCCUCGCCUUACUGGCCAAAGUGUCCUUCCGUUCUAGCUAAUCCAAAGCCAGUUCCUUUCUUUCCACUUCACGCCUCCACCAUCUCCUUCACGCCUCCACCAUCUCCUUUCCUAACUUCCCUGCCGAAAGGCAACACUCCAUCAUUCUGUUGGGCGGUUCUCUAGCUUUCCUUCCUGGCGCUGGGCAUUUUGUGGUUUUUCAGAAUGGAAGCUGUGUGAGGACAGGGACAGCCAAGCACAGCGUCGGGACAGCCUAAGGCAAAGGUUGUGUUCUCUCUCUAGCGGUGCACAGCGCGGCUGGGGCGCAGAGGGAGGGAGCGCGAACCCCGCUCUGCUCAACUCUCCUCAGCCUUUCCCGCAGGGGCAGGCCUUGGGUACGCCCACGUGCUUAUCUCUAGCCAGCAACGCGCCUCCAUUGACGUCACCCUAGCUCGUCACGUGUGGUGUGGUUCUAAGCUCCGCCCUGCGCCGCGAGGCCAGAAGCUUGGGCCUUUCUCCAAACCCUAUCCAUGUCCUCUUAACAGGAUCUGAGGCAGCCGUUCCUCCAGCUGCGCCGUGAGGGGCUCCACCGACG
ensembl:lncRNA